UGGUGGGUAGUUUGACUGGGGCGGUCUCCUCCUAAAGAGUAACGGAGGAGCACGAAGGUUGGCUAAUCCUGGUCGGACAUCAGGAGGUUAGUGCAAUGGCAUAAGCCAGCUUGACUGCGAGCGUGACGGCGCGAGCAGGUGCGAAAGCAGGUCAUAGUGAUCCGGUGGUUCUGAAUGGAAGGGCCAUCGCUCAACGGAUAAAAGGUACUCCGGGGAUAACAGGCUGAUACCGCCCAAGAGUUCAUAUCGACGGCGGUGUUUGGCACCUCGAUGUCGGCUCAUCACAUCCUGGGGCUGAAGUAGGUCCCAAGGGUAUGGCUGUUCGCCAUUUAAAGUGGUACGCGAGCUGGGUUUAGAACGUCGUGAGACAGUUCGGUCCCUAUCUGCCGUGGGCGCUGGAGAACUGAGGGGGGCUGCUCCUAGUACGAGAGGACCGGAGUGGACGCAUCACUGGUGUUCGGGUUGUCAUGCCAAUGGCACUGCCCGGUAGCUAAAUGCGGAAGAGAUAAGUGCUGAAAGCAUCUAAGCACGAAACUUGCCCCGAGAUGAGUUCUCCCUGAGACUUUAGGUCUCCUGAAGGAACGUUGAAGACGACGACGUU
rnacentral:rRNA from 2 species